rnacentral:antisense_RNA from 1 species
UUCUUGUUUUUGUGUCUUUAACUAGGACUUCUAUUUGGAACUGAGUCCGACAGCUCAGGACUGGCUGCUCAGACUCCACAAUUUAAUGAAAAAUCUCAGAUGAUGACUCAGAAAACCUCUAAUGAUCUGAGGAAUAUAUUAAGGGAUUCCAGAGUCAAAGGCUGAUCAUGGAGGGCAUUGAUGAGGGAAGACUUCAGGUGGCUGGAGACCAGAAGAAAGGAACACUGGAAGAAUGAAAACGGUUGUGAUGCACUGCAGUGUGAAAAUAUGCCCUUGAGCCUUAAAGAAAGGGGCUUAAGGCCAGGCGCGGUGGCUCACGCCUGUACUCCCAGCACACAGAUCACGAGGUCAAGAGAUUUGAGACCAUCCUGGCCAACACGGUGAAACCCCGUCUCUACUAAAAAUACAAAAAAUUAUGUGGGAGUGGUGGCACACGCCUGUAGUCCCAGCUACUCGGGAGGCUGAGGCAGGAGAAUCGCUGGAACCCAGGAGGUGGAGGUUGCAGUGAGCCGAGAUCGCGCCACUGUACUCCAGCCUGGCGACAGAGCGAGACUCCGUCUCAAAAAAAAAAAA